UACGUAGGGUGCAAGCGUUAAUCGGAAUUACUGGGCGUAAAGCGUGCGCAGGCGGUUUUGUAAGUCUGACGUGAAAUCCCCGGGCUCAACCUGGGAAUUGCGAUGGAGACUGCAAGGCUUGAAUCUGGCAGAGGGGGGUAGAAUUCCACGUGUAGCAGUGAAAUGCGUAGAGAUGUGGAGGAACACCGAUGGCGAAGGCAGCCCCCUGGGUCAAGAUUGACGCUCAUGCACGAAAGCGUGGGGAGCAAACAGG
rnacentral:rRNA from 1 species